GCCCUCUUGGGAGGCACAUAAUACUAAAACUGAAAUGACAUAGCAGAUUUGCAUGGCCCCUGUACAAGAAUAACACAUAUAUUCAUGAAUCAUUUUUUUUUUUU